GACGAACGCUGGCGGCGUGCUUAACACAUGCAAGUCGAACGGUAAGGCCCUUCGGGGUACACGAGUGGCGAACGGGUGAGUAACACGUGGGUGAUCUGCCCUGCACUUCGGGAUAAGCCUGGGAAACUGGGUCUAAUACCGGAUAGGACUCCGGACUGCAUGGUCUGGGGUGGAAAGCUUUUGCGGUGUGGGAUGGGCCCGCGGCCUAUCAGCUUGUUGGUGGGGUGAUGGCCUACCAAGGCGACGACGGGUAGCCGGCCUGAGAGGGUGACCGGCCACACUGGGACUGAGCUACGGCCCAGACUCCUACGGGAGGCAGCAGUGGGGAAUAUUGCACAAUGGGCGCAAGCCCGAUGCAGCGACGCCGCGUGAGGGAUGACGGCCUUCGGGUUGUAAACCUCUUUCAGCAUCGACGAAGCGAAAGUGACGGUAGGUGCAGAAGAAGGACCGGCCAACUACGUGCCAGCCGCCGCGGUAA
rnacentral:rRNA from 1 species